rnacentral:rRNA from 1 species
UACGUAGGGAGCAAGCGUUGUUCGGAUUUACUGGGCGUAAAGGGCGCGUAGGCGGCUUUGUAAGUUAGAGGUGAAAGCCCAGGGCUUAACCCUGGAAUUGCCUUUAAGACUGCAUCGCUAGAAUCGUGGAGAGGUGAGUGGAAUUCCGAGUGUAGAGGUGAAAUUCGUAGAUAUUCGGAAGAACACCAGUGGCGAAGGCGACUCACUGGACACGUAUUGACGCUGAGGUGCGAAAGCGUGGGGGAGCAAACAGG